CGGGUGAUGGCAGGAACGGCGAUGGCGGCUUGCCUCUAGUACAAUGUGUCGCAAGAGCUCGUAUCCCAACCACACAGGGUCCGGAUA
rnacentral:snoRNA from 1 species